AGCAGUCGCCACGGGAAUACGGAGGGGGCUAGCGUUGUUCGGAAUUACUGGGCGUAAAGCGCACGUAGGCGGCUUGGUAAGUUAGAGGUGAAAGCCCGGAGCUCAACUCCAGAAUUGCCUUUAAGACUGCAUCGCUUGAACGUCGGAGAGGUGAGUGGAAUUCCGAGUGUAGAGGUGAAAUUCGUAGAUAUUCGGAAGAACACCAGUGGCGAAGGCGGCUCACUGGACGACUGUUGACGCUGAGGUACGAAAGCGUGGGGAGCAAACAGGAUUAGAUACCCCCGUAGUCCCUGUCUCUUAUAC
rnacentral:rRNA from 1 species